GUGGGGAAUAUUGGACAAUGGGCGCAAGCCUGAUCCAGCCAUGCCGCGUGAGUGAUGAAGGCCCUAGGGUUGUAAAGCUCUUUCACCGGUGAAGAUAAUGACGGUAACCGGAGAAGAAGCCCCGGCUAACUUCGUGCCAGCAGCCGCGGUAAUACGAAGGGGGCUAGCGUUGUUCGGAAUUACUGGGCGUACAGCGCACGUAGGCGGACAUUUAAGUCAGGGGUGAAAUCCCAUAGCUCAACUCUGGAACUGCCUUUGAUACUGGGUGUCUUGAGUAUGGAAGAGGUAAGUGGAAUUCCGAGUGUAGAGGUGAAAUUCGUAGAUAUUCGGAGGAACACCAGUGGCGAAGGCGGCUUACUGGUCCAUUACUGACGCUGAGGUGCGAAAGCGUGGGGAGCAAACAGGAUUAGAUACCCCGGUAGUCC
rnacentral:rRNA from 1 species